rnacentral:rRNA from 1 species
GAUAAACGCUGGCGGCGUGCCUUAUGCAUGCAAGUCGAACGUGAGACCGGCUUCGGCCGGUUGAAAGUGGCGAACGGGUGAGUAACACGUAGGAACCUGCCCGGAAGUGGGGGAUAACUCCGCGAAAGCGGGGCUAAUACCGCAUGUGGUCGCAAGACCAAAGCUUCGGCGCUUCCGGAGGGGCCUGCGGCGGAUUAGCUAGUUGGUGGGGUAACGGCCUACCAAGGCGACGAUCCGUAGCUGGUCUGAGAGGAUGGUCAGCCACACUGGAACUGAGACACGGUUCAGACUCCUACGGGAGGCAGCAGCAAGGAAUUUUGCGCGAUGGGCGAAAGCCUGACGCAGCAACGCCGCGUGGGGGAAGAAGGCCCUCGGGUUGUAAACCCCUUUUGCGAGGGAAGAAGAUCUGACGGUACCUCGCGAAUAAGCCACGGCUAACUACGUGCCAGCCGCCGCCGUAAUAC